rnacentral:lncRNA from 1 species
CCGAGAAGCGGUCGGCACGGUGCGCGGACAGCAACAGAUACGAGGGCGAAGACCGUCCGUACAAACUCCUCCCGGGCAGGUGAAUGUCUUCACCGCUGAUACUGGCAGGUUGCGGCGGCGGCCGGCCGGUGAAAGCGACGGUUAUCUUUCCCUCUUUAACACGGAGACAAGGUGGAAAUGUGUAAAGGUUCACCAUAAAGCUUUCAGACCGUCUCUGCUGCAGCUCACUGGCCUUGAUGGGAUACUCGUAUCAUUUGCAGCGCUUCAAAUUGAACAAGCAGAGUUCCCUUCUAG